rnacentral:tRNA from 1 species
GCCGCGGUAGCUCAGUUGGUAGAGCAAUGCACUGAAAAUGCAUGGGUCGCCGGUUCAAGUCCGGCUUGCGGCA